rfam:Sphaerulina musiva SO2202 unplaced genomic scaffold SEPMTscaffold_1, whole genome shotgun sequence.
GGUUCCUUAGCUCAGUUGGUUAGAGCGUGGUGCUAAUACGGCUGCAAUGCCUUCAAACGCCAAGGUCGAGGGUUCGACCCCCUUAGGGACCA